UUAGAAAUUUUCAUUCUAGUUUUAUAUGCUGUCAACCAAAUUUUGUUUCUUACAGCAAAUCAUACAUGGAAAUAAAUUGUCAUCUCAGUUUUCAGCAUCCCUCAUCAAACUAAAAGAAUAUGGGAGAUUGCUGUCUAGUUCUGACAUUGCAAAUAUGCGAAGAUAUCUCUCUGAUGAUCUAUUUAAUCAGUUUACAACAACUAGGAGGUUUUUCCUCAGUAUACCUUACACCAACAGUUAAAUUGACACUUCAGCGAUCUGCCUACUUGCGUCAUCACACUCCUUUGAAGUUGGGACAUUUUCAUGAGAAAAAAAGUGUAGUACAAUGGAGUUGCCAGAGAUGGAAAAAUGAGUUAGGAAAAAACCAAGUGUUUGUAUGACUUACCUGGUUUUCCUUGAGGCUAUCCUGAAAGACUUCCUUGAAACGAGCAACUUUAAUUUGUUAAUAUUGGCUGACUGCCGUAACGUUGUGAAUGAUGAAGCUUGGAAAAAAAAAAAAUAUUGGCUUUAUAUGAAAAGUCAGCCAACAGUCUACAUCCAAGGAUCCUAGGAUUGACUGCAUCAAUUGUGACUAACAUAUGCAAGCCAAUGGAACUAUUCCAAUUGAUAACUAUUCGGGAAAGCAAAUUGCAGUCAGCUAUUUACUCUUCAAACAAUGUUUUAUCAGCAUUAUGGCAUUUAACACACCCCAAAGAAUUAGUGUGUGAAAUAUCCUCAAAGCCUGAAGCCACUCGGCUCGAGCUAGAAAUAAUGGAUCGCGUUUAGUGGUUGAAUAGUUAUCUUCGAGCUCAUCGGCACGAUCCCAACAAAUAUUAGUAGUAGAGAAGUUUAGCCACUUUAAUGUUCUUCGCCUUUUGGACAUACUCCGUAUUUAUCGACCGCCAAUAACUUCAAAGUUGCCCGGAAACAACGAUCCAUCAGAGCAAUUAGAUUCCACCGUAAUAGUUGAUGCCGACGGUCUCGCUGAUCAAGUUCAAAAAUUGUCCACGGAAAGAUUACAGCCCGUAGAGUUACCUGAGAAUGGCUCGUCCUUUGUGCGUCGGCCAACAGCUCAAUCGGGUCACGUCAGUCGUCAUAGGCGUCCCGAUUUCCCUGCUCGUCAUUACCGAAUUUGAGAAGACGCUUAUCAGCUAUGUGGAAUGAUUUUCACUGAGAGGCAUACCUCAGCCAAACUACUCUUAUCAGCUGUUAAAGGAUGCAAGUCGAGGCGACCCUUAUUUAGCGUAUGUAAGCCCACUGUAUACCGUUGAUCGGAUUGAAGGCAUGGCCGUUAAGGAAAUAGAAAGUGAAGACCGGGAAGCAAGAAGAUGUUAUGAAGCGUUUUCGUAGU